rnacentral:snRNA from 1 species
AUACUUACCUGGCACAGGGGAUACCGUGAUCAUAAAGGCGGUUCCUCCAGGACGAGGCUCUUCCAUUGCACUUCGGUUGGGCUGACCCCUGCGAUUACCCCUAAUGUGGGUAACUCGGGUGCAUAAUUUUUGGUAGUCGGGACUGCGUUCGCGCAGACCCGGU